GUAACAUUUUCGAUGUACUUUAUUUAAUUAUUUAACAAACACUUAUUCAGUAUGAACAAUGGGCAGGCUCUCUUCCAAGCAGGAAGUGAUUAUGGAUCAUAUGUUGUAAAUAUAACCUUAUUUAAUCAUUAUAAUAAGUCUAUAAAGAAGGUUAUUAUUACCCUCCUUUUAAAAAUAGGGAACUUGAAACUCUAUUUUAUAAAGUUCAGAGACAUUAGGUAUUUCACCCAAGGUCACACAGCCUGUGCGGUGGAGCUUCUUGCAAAAGUAUGUUGGCCUUUUACAGAAUAGACAGAUUAAUUCUAACCAGGGAAAGAAGGGGAAAAAUAAACCCCAGAGAAUGGAUGCUAUUUCAACUGUGUCUUGAAACCUCGUUCAGACUGGUUUGUUUGCAAAUGUUGGACAGUCAAGAAUGUACCCAGAGAAAGCUAUUCCAUAAGGGACAUAAAUGUAAGAUAUUAACAAGAUACAAUUUUCUGUCUAACAUUAAAAUUUUAGGAAGCUAUAUCCUCCUCUCUUCUCUUAUCUCAAGGAUGUCCCAAGUUUUAGUGCAAUGUUCACUUUAAUUUUUAAGAGUAUGAAUAAUAUAAUAUAUUUUGCAUGGCACUACCGCUUUAUUUAAAUCUCAAAAUUUUCUGAGAGUUGAAUGUUCACUGAUAGUCUUCACAGCAGUCAAUGGCUAUGAGAUGAGUCACCAAGUAGGAGACCAAACAGGCCUCUUCAGUUUAAGGUGACCCUCCUGUGUGAGCUGUCAGUGACAUCUGCCAAAACCAUGCCUUAUUUGUGAGAAAUGCCUGGUCUCUGCUUGUUGGAAAACUGAUGGCCUCUUUCGCUCUCUCAACUCGGUGAUUAACAAUUACUGCCUAGAAGGCUUUGCUGUAAAUUUAACAAUUCUCAUCUUAUGGGGCAUGACAGUUCUUAUUUGCUUUUAACUAUAAAUAGUAAAAGUAUAAAUACAUUCUUUCUUUCUGGAUAAGAUAAUAUUUAAUUUUUUGUCUUUAGUGUUAUUGCAUUUUUCUAACAGAAACACUGAAUGAGACAUAUUUUUAAUAUAUAAUAUUUUAUUUGUUUAUUUUUGAGACACAGUCUGGCUCUGUCACCCAGGCUGGAGUGCAAUGGUGCAAUCUUGGCCCACCACAAUCUCGGCCUUCCAGGUUCAAGCAAUUCUCCUGCCUCUGCCUCCAAAGUAGCUUGGAUUACAGGCACCCUCCACUAUGCCUGGCUAAUUUUUGUAUUUUUAGUAGAGAUGGGGUUUCAUCAUGUUGGCCAAGCUGUUCUCAAAUUCCUGACCUCAGAUGAUUCACUCACCUCUGCCUCCCAAAGUGCUGGGAUUAUAAGCAUGAGCCACUGUGCCUGGCCAAAAUAUUUCAAAACAUGGCAAAUGAUCACUGGGUUUCAGUGGUCCAAAUCAGAAUUUUCUUUGAGAGAAAAGCAUUAAGAGGAAUAUACUAAUAAAAUAUCAGUGUAAGCACUUGAAAAUAAAUUAGAAAAAAUACAUACAGAGCAAAAGGAAACCACUAUAUAGUAAAUGUAAUAUCAAUGUAAAAGCCAAGAGUAGAGUUUCAGAGCACAAUGGCACUCUUCUCCCACACCCAAGAUUUUUAUUUUAGAAAUAGAAUAGUAACCUUACAGGAUAGGCCUUCUAUUCGGCUUUAUACAUUUUCAGAAAUGCCCUUGAAUUAUUUGACUGUAUACCUUUUUGGCUCAACUUACUUACUUUCCUUUAUGUUGGCUUCCUGCACAGUAAAGUUGUUGGGGGUGACCAGUAGAUGCAUUUGAUAAAGGGCUAAUUUACGGGAGACCACUUUACUGGAAAGAGUGCCUCUCUCCAAAUAAGUAAAUACAUUUUUUCCAGAAAAAUCCUAAAAACAAAAAACAAACAACAACAACAACAGCAAAAACCUUUCUACGACCUGUUUAGCUUGCAGAAGCCUUUCAAUUAGCUUCAGGGAGAGAAUGUUCUGUACCUUGAGUGGUCCAUGCACUCAGGAGAAUGUGCUGAUUUCAGCAUCUUCCUUAUAGCCAUGUGAACACCAAAAUAGGAUUCCUUUUUUCUCUGCUCCAGGUUUCUGGAGCAACUGUUUUGACUGUGCAAAAGUAUAACAUUUUACAUUGUUUUAUGUUUCUCUGAAUAAAAAUACCAUUUUCUUCCUAGAAAAUUUGACUUGCUAAUUACAUAUAUUGUGAAUUAAUAUCACAUUCCUGAUAUAGAGGGCUUUUGUAAUCAAAAUAACUAUCAGACACCACAAAGGAAUAAGAGGUUGAAUAUGUUCACUUUCUGUAUGGCUAUUGGAAGCCUCAGGUCAUCACUUCUUGGAGGCAGUCCUGAGUAGAGGCAAAAGGUACCAAAUAUUCUGUGUACCUUAUGACUGUUAAUUCUUGGAAUAGUUCUGGAAAGUAGACAUCAUAUGACUUUCCAUGACGUCAUGGAAAUAUUUUACUGAAGACACUGCUACAAGAAGGAUGACUUAGUGACUUAUUUAAGGCCUCAAAGUAACAGAACCUCGAUUGAAAUUAAGUUUGGCCUGAGUCAAAGUCUACUUUCUUUUCACUGCAUUAUACUGGAUAGGCUUAGAGAGUAUAUUGCGGAGAGAAUAUGGCAUUUGUACCCAAAUUUCAUAGUUGACUUACAUUUGGGGUUUCUUUAUGAAAUUUCAGUUUAAUAGGAGAGAAUGGCAAGUUGUAUAACCUCAGAAUUCAAGAGUGAGAUUUGGGCUUGAAAACUGCCUGUUAGAAAUCGAUAUGCAUAUUUUCCUCUUCAACUUUCCAUAUAAAGUCAGACUUUUACCCAAUAUGGUCUUGGUUGUACCCCUGUGUAUUUCUGGGACUUUCCGUAGUUGAUAUGUGUAUGUUGGAGGUGAGGCAGAGAAAAUAAACAUGUCCAUUCUGAAUGCCUUUUCCUGUGAGAGGUACUAAUAGGCUUUCUCUCACUCAAGAGUACAUUUUCAGUGUCUGGAUGUUUUCAAUGUCUGGAUUAAUUCAGCUGUCCAGAAAAGAGGUUGUGCUUUGCUCUCCAUAUAUAACAUCUAGUAAAGAAGGCUUAGCUUCAUCAUUCUUCUCUAAGGAGGAAGGAUUCAUGACCAACUGAUCCCACUGAAGACAAUAUUAGCAGAAAUUAUGAAAGAAGCUUACAGAGUAUUUUGCAAAGUUCAUGCACUUACAUUGCCAAAUGUUAUGUGAUUUUACCGAAUCCCUCAAAACUCCUCUAAGGAAGUUGAGAAUAUCUCCAUUUUUUCCAAUGAAGAAACUUGAUUUAGAAAGGUCAAAGAGAUUUGUUUGAAAUCAUGGAGUCUUCUGGCUCCCAGUCAAGGGUUCUUUUGCCUACAGUACCAUCCUCCACCAGCUGCAUUACACAUUUCAGAAGUGUGAAAAUGGGAAGCAGACUAUUUCUCCUGGACUCUGAGUAUUAGUUGCUCCCAUCUUUAGUUAGAGAAAUAUCAACAAACUUGCAGUUUGUAUAAGAAUUUGAUACUUAAUCAUAAUGUAUUAUUACACAGUGUUGAUGUAUUUAUAGAUCUUAUUAAUAAAAUGCCUAGUGAAGACACAGACGUAUUUAUGCACAUGCAUACACACAAUCCCUUUAUACUUCAUGUUUUCCAGGUAAAAUGAGAGUUAACAUUUGUUGAGUGCUUAGCAUGUUCCAGAUACUGUGCUCAACUUUUCAAUAGAGGAAAGUAUUAUUAUCUUAAUUUUGUAGAAAAAGAAGCUGAGAAGACUGUGGAGGUUCAGUAACUUGCCCACAGUAGUGCAAUCAAUGGUGGCACCAGGAUUUGACCCCAAGAUAAUCUCCAGAGCAUUUGCCACUAAGCACUUUUUUAAUUGACUCUCUUUCCCUUAUUUCUGAUGGUGGUGGUGAAAAGUUGGGAAGGCAGUGUGCAACUUAUGACAUUCUUCUAGUAGAAUGGUGCUUAAAUAUUUCACAUGUAUCUUGCAUUUUCCUCAGCUCCUGCUCUCUAAGUUUACUUUACCUUUCAUUUAAAUACAUAAAGUAGAGGCUGUCCUGAGUAGAGGCAAUAGAUAUUAAACCAAAUAUUCUAUGUUCUCUAUGACAGUUAAUUUUUGGAAUAGCUCUGAUGAACAUAAAACACCACAGACUGAAAUAUGUUCUAUAUUAUUUACAUUUUCCCUUUUAUAAAGUUUUAUGCUAUAGUUUUGAGGUACUCUAAAUAAUUUUAAGAACAUGAUUUUUUUUGUAUUAUAAGAAGAGUAACAUAGUCCCAAAGAAAGAAGAGAUUCUGUGAGAAAGUCUAUUUCAUCUCACUUUGUUCCACUAGGUUUUCAGUUGUCAAAAUUCAAGCAUUCAGUAAACACAAAUGUAGAUUAUGUCAAUUGAGCUCCACCUUUUAGUUUAUUGCCCUCUUAAAUCGAAGGAAAGUAAUUUGAAAUCCAAAUAAGAAAAUGAAACAACAACUGGGAAUUCAAGUACCUAGGGCAUAUUAAAUAUUUAUGUGCUAACUUAUCCCAUGGAGCUUUGCUGCGUCUCAGACCUUGUCAAAAUGACUUCCUUUGCCUUGUACUCCUGUACUGUUUUUAAGCUUUGUUACAUUUUUAAAAUAUAGAUUGCUUGUAAUUUCUCUGAGUAAUUGUGAUGGCAGGGAAGCUGGGUAAGUACGAGGUGCUUAUAAUGUUGACUUUUUGCUUGGAUAGAAAUAGGUCUCUGCCUGUUUCACUAUUUACUGUCUGAUAAUCCUGUACAAGCCACUUAACUUCUUCAUAUUUCAGUUUCCUUGUAUGUUAAUAGGCCUACAGAUACUAACUACUUCAUAGGGAUUUUGCAGUAAUUAAAUUACAUAUUUCAUACAAAGCACAUGGGCCUAUUGCUCAGUAAGCACUAGCUGAUGUUAUUGUUAAUAUCUUUUCAUUCUUAUUCUCAUCUCUUGAUUUCAGGGACUUACUGCCUUUUCCCUGAGCAAGGUAAUAGCAAGGCUAUUAUAUUAGCCCUCUCACUGGUCCCUAACAAUCGGUAGUCAGUGUGUGGUCAGGAAACUAGAUAAUGUGAGAUAUUUUAUCAGAAAUGAUUUAAUAUAGAAAUUGUUCAAACAGGUUGAGGAGAGGUGCUGGAAAAAUAAAACUAGAGUAACACAGAGCCAAUAACUGCAAGAAGCAAUUGCACAUUUAGGGUAAAUUUAAGGGAAAAAGUGGGAGUUUUAGGACUUGCAAGCUCAGACGAGAUCUCACUGAGCUGGAAUCCAGUCUUCUGAGGAGAGGAUAUUAUCAGACUUUCGCAAGGAGCUGAGAACUUUGAGGAGGGGGCAUCACCAACUGGUGCUGGUGCUGGUGCUGAGGGUAUGAUGAGGCUGGUCCUGGGAAGGGAGAGAAAGCUGAAAAGUGGAACCAACUGCUGCCGCCCAGGUGAAGUUUUAAUCCUGGGGUAACUCAAUCAAAAAGGACAGCCAGGCAGGAAGUAGUAAAUUCCUUCUCCCUCCUCUUGCCUACUUGCCUCCCUGCUGGGCUCCUUCUGGCAGAUAGGAACAGUCUUCCAGUUGGCCAAAAGCAGCAAAUGCAGUUUACUAAACCAUGUGGUUUGCGUCAGAAAACAAAGGACAGAAGGAUGGGUUUAGAGCUAACAGGCAGUAGCUUAGUAACCAACACAAAUAUCUUUCAAAUCCCAGUCUCUUUUAUAAACCCCUAUUGGAUUAAAUAAUUAACAGAGUGAACAGACAGCCUAUGGAAUGGGAGAAAAUACUAACAAACUCUGCAUCCAACAGAAAACUAGUAUCUGGAAUUUACAAGGAAUUCCUACAACUCAAUGAUAGCAAGAACAACAAAAAUAAUCCUAUUAAAAAGUGGGCAAAGGACAUGAAUACAAACUUUUUUAAAAGAAGAUAUACAAAUGGCCAGCAAGCAUAUGAAAAAUACUUAACAUCACUAAUCAUCAGAGAAGUGCAAAUUAAAACCACAAUGAGAUAGCAUCUUAUACCAGUCAGGGUAGCUAAUACAAACUUUUUUAAAAGAAGAUAUACAAAUGGCCAGCAAGCAUAUGAAAAAUACUUAACAUCACUAAUCAUCAGAGAAGUGCAAAUUAAAACCACAAUGAGAUAGCAUCUUAUACAAGUCAGGGUAGCUAUUACUAAAAAUACAAGAAAUAACAGAUGUUGAUGAGGAUGCAGAGAAAAUAGAACACUUAUACACAAUUGGUAAGAAUAUAAAUUAGUACAACCUCCAUGGAAAACAGUGUGGAGAUUUCUCAAAUAACUACAAAUAGAACUACUAUUCAAUCCAGCAAUCCUACUACUAGGUAUCUGCCCAAAGGAAAAAAAAUGUUAUAUCAAAAAGAUACCUGCAUUUGUAUGUUUAUUACAGCAUUGUUCAUAAUAGCAAAGAUAUGGAAUCAACCUAACUGUCCAUCAACAGAUGAUUGGAUAAAGAAAAUAUGGUAUACAUAUGUACAAUGAAAUACUAUUCAGUCAUAGAAAAGAAUGAAGUCAUGUCUUUUGCAACUACGUGGAUGGGACUGGAGGCCAUUGUCUUAAGUGAAACAACUCAGAAACAUAAAAAUACUGUGUGUUCUCACUUAUUAGUGGGGAGUAAAUAAUGUGUAUGCAUGGACAUUGAAUAUAGAAUGAUAGACCUUGGAGACUGAAAGGUGAGGGAGUCAAGUGGGAUGUAGAUGUUGAGAAAUUACCUAAUGGGAAUAAUUUGCAUUAUUCAGGUGAUGGAUACUCUAAAAGGCCAGACUUCACCAGUACAUAAUAUUUCUAUAUACAAAAUUGUACUUGUACUCCUUAAAUUUAUACCAUAUAAAAUAUUUCCUGCAGUAUUAUUUGGAACACAUCUCUCACCUGCUCAAAUACCUUCAUGUCCUAUUGAGCAAAGUAAAUUCAAUACACACUUUUAAAAAAAAGAACUUAUUAUGAACAUUGUGCUCUGGGCUGUGGAGGACAUAAACAUGAAAAAGAAGUUUUUCUGUCCUCACAGUUUAAUGAGGAACAAGGUUAACAGAAGUCAUUCCAUAGCAAACGCUGAAAGUACUUGGAAGGAGGGAUGUAUCCUGACUGAUGAGAUUCAGGAAGAUUUCAUGGAAGGAAAAGUAAAAAUUCACAUUCAAUGAUGUGGUCUCUUAUACCUGGCUGACUUCUUACUACUCCACUAUAUUUAAUUUUUUUUGCUACUAUGUAACUAUUUCCUAUUUAUCCUUCAGUGUUUCUUAUCUGUAUACUUUUUUUUCUCAUGCCAGUCACUAAGACACAUGGCCAUGAAUACUGAGUGCCUUCUAUGGGUGUUUUCAACUAGUUGUAAGAAUACAACAUUGAACAAAUCAGACAAGGUGCCCUCCUUAUGGAACUUGCCGUCUAAGUGGGGAGGCAGUUCUUAAUACUAAAAGGUCGCCCAAAUGAAUGCAAAAUUACACAUCAUGGUUGGUGCUGGGAAAGAGGUGCAAACUGCUGUGUUAGCAGGGUGAUCAGGUUUAGUUUUGGAGUCACAAAUGGCUUCUCUCAGGUAUAGGUGUUAGGUUAGGUUGGAUCAAGAAGGCUGUUUUUAGCCUGUGCAGAAAAUCUUGGACUAGAAGAAGCAGAAUGUACAUCUGAGAAAAAGUCAUUAUAGGCACAGAAAAAGGGAAUGAGGAAUAUGUACAGCACUUUUUCAUAUGAUAAGCUUUUCUCAGGGUCAAGUUCAAAAGGCACCUCCUCCAUGAAGCCUUUCUUAAAAUAUUUGAACAGUAGAAAGAUCCUCCCUCUUUUCAGUUCUUAGCCAUUCUGUAUCUCUCAUGAGGGUGUUUGUUACAUACUGUCUUGGUUUAUGAUUAUUUCUGUGCAAGUUUGAUUGUCUGUGCUCAACUGUAAGGUUCUAGAAACCAGAAUUUGUCUCAUAUCCAUCCUUGUGUCCUUCAGUGUCAUCAGUUCUCAAAAAAUAUUUGCUGAAUAAGGUCACCUCUUCAAUAUGCCUGUUAGCACUUAGAUGGUGUGUUCAGUUACAUGGAGCAGUUCGGUGUAACUGUUUCUUUCAUUCAGUGUCUUAUAUUACUAACCGACUUGUCCCCAGGGAACAUUGGCAGUGCUUGACAGUUGUGCAUAACAGGUGUAAAAGUAUUCACUGGCCCACUUUGGGAAAGACAUAGAAGUUUGGCAUUUAAGGACUGGUACCUUAGAUCUCCAUGAAUCACAAUGAAUGGCUGCUUGACCAAAAGUGUUCAUAAAUCUGUAGCUUUACAAAAUUUGGGUUCAACCAACCAAAUUUGCUUUAUCUUUUUAUUUCAACAUCUGUGUUACCUUGUUCUGAUUUCCAUGUCAUUAGACAAGGAGAAAAUGAUCAUCUGCCCACAGCAAAACACUUGGAUUCCAUCAGAGGUUCUUCUGAAAAGUAAACAUACCAUGGAAAUAAGGACUUAGAAGGAGCAUCACACCAGUAGGCCUUCUUCCUGAUAAUUUUUUUUUUGAGACAGAAUUUUGCUCUUGUUGCCCAGGCUGGAGCAUCCUUCGUCCACCCAAGUUGAAGUGUUUCUCCUUGCCUCAGCCACCCUAAUAGGUGGGAUUACAGGAAUACGCCACCAUGCCUGGCUAAUUUUGUAUUUCUAGUAGAGAUGGGGUUUCUUCAUGUUGGUCAGGCUGAUCUCGAACUCCCAACCUCAAGUGAUACACCUGCCUCAGCCUCCCAAAGUGCUGGGAUUACAAGCAUGAGCCACUGCACCUGGCCUUUCCUGAUAUCUUCUAGGUCUCUUUGUAACAACCUGAGUGGACCCAUUCUCCUGUGCUCAGGACCUAGUUCCAGGUAUUCCCUUAUCUUUCCUUGAAUAUGGUCAUUCAUUGGUAUCUAUGAUGGAAUAUAAAAAUAGCUAGAAAAUGAAAACUACAAAACUCUGACUCCACAUCAUUUUACAAUAGUGUUGGAGUUAAUAGUUAUGGCAAAACUGCAUCUUCUAAGGAAAACUGAGCUAUGACAAGUAGCCCCAGAAUGAAAGGCAGCCAACCCACUGUCAGGGUGACCCAGAAGUCCUAAGUUGUGGGAAUUAUCACUAUAUGAAGACUGUAAAUCUGAUUAAUGUACACUCUGAGAUGAGGUAUAACAUUUCGUGCCAAAUGAGGUAGGGGUGGGUGAGAAAGGAUGAUAGAUACAGCUGGUUCUGAAUAUGUCUGAAGGACCAUAUUAAAAUCACAAUGAUGUAGAGAAAUAUGUAAACAAACAUAGGCAGCAUUCAGAUGGAUAUGUGUGUGUAUUUUAGUGUUUAUAUAAACAUAUACCUUAAGUUAUUUAUAGACUAAUAGUUGAUGAAUGAACCUUCACCAAUAGACCAUUUACAGUCUCCAAAUAGUGGGGUACACAAUUUUAUUCUCACUGUAAAAACUUACUCUUUGGUAGGACAUAUUGCCAAGUUUUUCACUAUGGAACUAAUCUGGAGGCCAUAUGGGGAAGCUUAAUUUAUGGGUAAUAUUAUCUAACAGCAUUCCUGUAGCAGUUGGUAAUUGCAAUGUUUCAUUAUCUCAGUUUAGUUUUGUCAUAAUCUUGUGACAUGAGCUGAUAUCAUUAUUCCACAUUGAUAAAGAAAGAUAUUUAGAGACAAACACAAUUCCCAUUAAGUUGCAGUGUGUGUGUGUGUGUGUGUGUAGGGUAUGUGUAUGUGGAAUUGUUUUUGAGUCAUAUAGAACAUUCUUUCUCAUAACUGACAUUCUGGAUUAAAUUUUAAUUUGUGGAGUCUUGGGCAAAGUCUAAACCUAAAUAAUGUUUGGGAAGAGGGGCCAAACCUGAAAACCUGCAUCAGAUUGACCCUAUAAGAGAGAGGCGAGAUUACUGGAUUCUGGCUUCAGAACAUCUUUUCCUCUUUCUGGAUGAGUAAAGAAUAAGAAACAGUUCUACCCUUCCUUACCCUCUCUUUCUUCCUAUUCGGGGUCUAUUCCAUCUUAUUUCACUUUGUUUUUAUGGAUGAAUUGUACUAUAAAGGGUAUAAAGCCCAGUCUGCCCUAUGUCAGAAGGAUUAGAUCUCAUUAUCUGUCCUGAUUUCUCAAAGGCAUGAACCAGAAACAAUCAGAGUAACUUUUUUGGACCGUUCAGCAGGAGAAAGGAGUGUUCUUUUUCCUAUAGAGACUGAGAUGGAAAGGAAAUAGAACAAAUGCUUCUUGAUUCUGACUUUUGUAGUAUGUAGCCUUAUUACAUAUACAGUUGUCCCGUGCUAUCCACAGGGGAUUGGUUCCAGGACCCAGUGCAGAUACCAAAAUUUGUGGCUGCUGAAAUCUCUUAAAUAAAAUGGCAUAAUAUUUGCAUAUAAUCUGGGCACAUCCUCCUGUAUGCCUUAAGUCAUCUCUAGAUUACUUAUAAUGCCAAACACAAGGCCUACAUACCACUUCAUUCUCAUGGAUUCAGGGUAGUACUUGGCACAUGCUAAAUUCAAGUUUUGGUUUUUGGAAUUUCAUGAGAAAAUUUUUCUGAAUAGUUUUGAUUUCCAUUUGGAUGUAUCCAUGGGUGUGGAACUCAUGGAUAAGAGCAGCCCACUCUAUUCAGUCUGUGCAGCAACCGAUAAAGGACACAAACAAGUGUAAUGAGGUCUAUUCUUUAUUGACAUACGAGAGGUUGCUCCUCACCUUCUUCUUACAAAUAAGAAAACUCUGAUUCAGAAAUCUUAAUACACAGAUAUAUUUGUGUACAUGUAUGUACAUGUUUCUGUGCUUAAGAAUGUUGUGCAAGGUCACAGAGUAACGUCAUGGUAGAGCCAGGGCUUAGCGGGUGGCAUAGGUUUUACACUUCCCUCAAUAUUUAUUAAACCAGUAACAUCCCUCAGGGAUGCUGAGAAUCUUAGUGUCCCUCUGUAAUAUGAUCACAUGCACUCUGUUUUUCUGCUACCUGACCCCUGAAAUCCUGGAGUCAGCAGGGAAAAAAAAAUAAAAGAGAGAGAAAGGUGAAAUUAAUUAAAUGGGAUAAUGCAUGUGAACACAGUUUGUAAAUUCUAAGGAAGGUCUUACAAAAGAUUUCUACAUUAGUAAUAGUUGCAAUAUGCUCAUUUACAUGAACCACUUAUCAUUCACAGCUAAUUACCAAGCAAUACAGUAACAAUUACGUGGAUGAUGAAAUACCCAUCAGAUCAACUCUUUUGCAAGCUGUUUCAAUUACAAUAUUCAACUCUCCUCCCUUAGUUUCCAUCUUCUAAAUAUAUUACUUAGGGAACUUGGAUAACUACCGACAACUAAAAAGAAUUAUGAACAUUCAUCAUAAAAAAGUAAGCAUUCACCCAAGAAAAACAAAUGAUAGAAGUGAAAGGUAAGAUUCUAUUUCUGAGCUACUCAUUGACUUUUCUUAUGGAUACUGAAUUUGUGACCCUGUGAAACUUCCAUGUGCAUUACUACACCAUCUUGGAAAUGGCCAUUUACAUUUUCAACAUGAGACAGCUAGCAGGACCUCUUCAAGUUCUAUAGUUCAAACUGUAUGUCUCCAUUGGCGUCACAUCUAUGUCCUUCAGUUGGUUUCUACUCACGCCAUUUUUCCAAAACAACUGUAAUUACUAGAAAAAUUUAACAAGCAAAUAUUAACUUGGCUGGAAUAUGAUUUUCAAACUACAUCAGAGCAGAUAACAAAGUUUGCAAUGACAUUCUGUGUACUAGUAUUCAAAGCAAUUAAGAGAAAUGAGUAUUCAGCCCCUAACAUUCUGACAAGUUCUUUCAAUAGUAAGUCCAAAUAAUCAAAGAAAAUGAUUUAUUUAUUGAGAUUUCAUAAUAUGAGAUAAUAUGGUCAUCACUGAUCUACCAGCAAGUCACAAUUGUAAUGUAUUGAAAAAUUUAAUGGUCUUGACUUUAGAACUUUAAUGAGUUUUGUAAUUGCUCAUGUAAGAGGUGACUGGUUAUGCUAAAUAUAUGGGGGCAAAUAAGCAAAUGUAACAGGGGACAUUUGUUGUUCUAAUAAAAUACAUCCAGCUUUGGACAAGUUCAGUGUAAAAGUUAUAAAAAAGAACUUUAAGAAAGGGAAUAUGUGACCACAGUAUUUUUAUGGGAAGGUGGGACAUCUUGAAUACUAAUCUGGAACUUUAUUGGUAAGGGGGGCCAUUUAUUGAGUUCUUACUAUAUUUUGAAUUUGACCUAGGCAUUUACUAUCCCAUUUAAUCUUUAUAAGCAAUCCUGUGGGAAAAUACAGUGUGGAUUAUCUAAGUUACUUUCCUGAGACCAUGUAGCCAAUAAAUGGCAAAGAUAAUUCAGUUGUGGGUCAAUUUUGAUGAUAUUUCUACUGUCCUAGAGGUUUUGCAUGAACAUGUGAUAUUAGUAAUAAUUAAAUAUCAGAAUAGUUAUGCACAGGGAUUUGAGAGAAAGCUGUACAAUUAGAUAAAAGUGAGCAUUUCAGUCAAGAGGAAGAAGUGACAAAAUUAUAUGUAGAGAUGAGUAGGUCCUGUUUGGAUAACUCAUUUGUCUGCAUCUAAUCUGUAUCUUCAGAGUUUUGUAGGCUGUUUGUAUCACACUUAAAUAUCUCUUCCAAAAUCUCCCAUAAUUGGAUUUAACCUUCAUGGCAGGGAUAGAUGAGGUUAAUCACAAGAGGAUCAAUAAAAAUAUUAACCAGUAACAUUCCCAGAGCCAUUACAAUCUGACUAACAGAAGGAUGGAGUAGAAAUAACCAUUCUGUUUUCAAUGAAUUUUUGAGUUUAUCUCAUUUUGAAUGCACACAAGAAAAUCUAAGAUAAAUUAUCUUUAAGAAUUUUACUGAGAUUUCCCCUUGGGUAAAGUUCGUAUGGAGAAUCUCAGAGCUAAUUUAGAAGACACUACUUUGAUGGUUGAACAAAAAAAGUGGAGAAAUAAUUAUGAUAAAUCAUCAAAUGAAAACUGUGUUAUAUUAUUAAAGCUGAUAAAUGUGUGGCAUUACUACUUUAGAGAAUGAAGAGUUCUUAAGUCAUGUAGGGAAUGGCUUGUUCUUAAGACAAAGUUGGACAGAAAUGAAUUGUGAUAAUGGUGUUAUUACUGAUGACUUAAAAUUCAGGACACUCUGGUUUCAAAUAGUAUUACAGAUCAAAGUUUCUUUUCAAAGACUAUUAUAGAAAACAUUAAGCAGCAGUCACCAACUCAUGACGGCUUUUUGUUCUGACUCAGUUUUGAGACUGUGUACAGAAAUGAGUGGAUAGUUACUUCUUUUGAGCUGGGUGCAUAAAAUUAACUCUUGGCUUUUUCUGAUAGCCAAGAAAUCUCCCCACAUACAAUCUGCAGCCCAGUUGCAAGAAGCUGAUGAUCUCCAUAGUCAGGUAAGUUGGUAGGUGUCUUUCCUAGAAGUUGUAAUUUAAUAGGUAUGAAAGGUCCUUUAAUUUAUCCCCUUUACACCUAUCCUGCAGGUAUCACAGGGACUGAAAUUCCGCUAGCCAACUAGACGUUAGAUUCAGAUUAAAUUUACACUUUUUCCAAGCACCAACUAUAAUACCCAACUACUGCUGAAUUUUUAUAUACAUGGUACAUAUGUGUUUAAUUUUUAUGAGGGUUUUCCCCUCUUACAACCCACAUACUGCAGAUAUUUUAAAAUCAAGAGUCACAUGUAGGCAAAACUAAUUUAGUAUUAAAGAGAGAAAAAUAUAGUCACAAAUAUCUGAUUUUAAGAUUAAAAUUAGUAACCCCCAAUUUUAUUUAAAUAACAAGAGCUAUAUCUUAUUCAUCUUAGUUCAUCUCAUUCUUCUACCAUACACACAAAUGGACUUGGCUCUCCCUGUGUGUUAAUGACUUUAAAUACACAUACUAAAUCCUAAACAGAAUAAAUUGUUGACAUGUUAAAGUAGUUGAAAGGGAAAGAAGCAACUAACAUAAAGAGUAAAGGUGUAAAGAGUCCAGAGUAACAGGGAGACCAGGACAGGCCAGAUUUCAAGGACAAGGAAGAUGAAUAAUGGGAAAUUCAUAAAGAAAGUCAAGGAUAACCUGUCACCAUGCUCCUCAUCAGUAGUUCCCUGUUACUUAACAAUCUAUCAGUGCCUUCCAUUUCCUAUAGAAUAAAAUUUGCAUUAUUUAGCCAGGUUAUACCAGGGUCUCCAAAAGCUGAUCCACCUGUUCCUCUAGCAUACCUGAUCUAGCCUCUCUAACCACAUUCUCUCCUGUAAUAAGCGUUUGUACCUUCCAUUCUUUUUCUUCCUUCCUAACCAUUCCACAAGCCAGCCCAAACAUCCUCUGCAAAGCUAUCUCUGAGUUAAUUCUUUCAUCCUCUGUGCUGUGGUACCUCCUACACACCUUAUAUUUUAGCUUAUUUGAUCCAGUAAUUGCAAUUGUAUGUUUUCCUGGCUAAAUUCUCCUGGGAACUCAUUGGAGACAGAAAUUACACUCUACUUAUUUAUGUGUCCUCAGUCUUUUGUUCAGAGACUGUGGUAUGGUAGGCAUUCAGUAGAUAUCUGCUUGAUGUGUGAAAAUAUGGAAAUUUAUGUUUCUUAGCCUGGCAGUCAAGGUCCUCUUCUAGUCUCACUUUCUAAAGAUAGGAUGUCAUAAUGAUUUGGUAAGUUUUUACUUUUCUAGGGAUAUAAAAUGAGGAUGAUAAAUGUGCCUACUUCAAUAGGAUAUCAUAAGGAUUAAAUAAAUGGUACAUGUAAAACACUUAGCAUGGUGUCAAAUCAUAUGAUUCAAAUGACUCAAAUGAUAUUGACUAGUACCAUUAUAUCCCAAAUUUUUCAAUAUAGAUAGGUUUUUAAGAAUAUGUAAGAAUAAAUAAGAAUAAGAUUCUUAUGUGGUAAAGACUUUCAAUGCUAUGGAAAUAUUGAAGAGGAUCUGAUAAAGAGUAGAGUCCCAUGAGGAGGUAGGGUCCCGUGAGGCGUUAACAAUCUGGGACAUAUGAAUGCAGAGUAGGGAAAGCAGAGGGAAAUUCCAAAGACAAGGAAUCAUGACACGAGAUCAGGGGAUUUAAAGAUUACUUAUAUUGAAAGAUUUUUUUUCAUAAAAGUCUUAACAAAGAAGGAAAGCUAGAGCAUAUUAUGUUUAAAUAAGUUUAAAUUCUUGAGUAUUUUGUAAAAGUUCUUCUCUGUGCUCAGUUUAACAUAUUUUAAAUUAGAGCCUAUCUUAAUAAAUUGCUUAGAAUCUGAGCUUAAAUUUCUUCUCUUAAUUUGUUGACGGAAGUCCUACAUUGUUGAUUUACUUUCAUUUUGUCCUUAGUCAGGACAUUUCCCAUGACAGUUAAAUAAUUUCUAUAAUAACACUUCAUGCAUAACUGCUGGCUAACUAUAGUAUUAUCCUUGCCAUUGCUUUUUAUAAGCAUGUACCAUGAAAAUUUGUGACAAUUUUGUUAACAUAUACAGUCUCAAAUUGGUUUCUUACACAUUCCUGUGAAUUUUAAAUUCUCUUCUUUGAAAGCUUCCUAGAUAGCUCAGCAUUCACUGAGUUUUCCACUUACUCCCUUGAAGGAGAUUUUGAGUGCUUUGAACAGCUAUUACAAACCAGUUAUGGGGCUUGGGACAAGUCAAGGCUCUCAUUUCUGCCUCCAUUUUAUCUCUUGCUGAAUGGGAAUCUGUACCAAGCUCUAUUCCUCCAGAGAAGGAGUGUACAGAUAAGUGAAACAACAUAUUUGAACUAUUUUAUAGAUCCUUAGAAGAAAAGAACCAAGAACAUAAUGCUUUUACCUAGUUAGCAAUUUUGGGCCCGCUUUGUGCUAUUGCUGGGUUUGUAGUGGCCUUUGUUUGCUGUUUUUCCUUCCUUUCUACUCUGUGGACUAUUGUCAAUUUGUUGUCACUACUUUAGGCACAUAAAACUGGCAAACAGAAAGGAGUUUCUUUACUCUCAGUUAUUAGACAAUAUCCAUCUUUCAGAAGUAGCAUACAGUUGAGGAUACAGUUCAGGUUUCAGUCUGGGAUUUAUCUCCCAGGCAUCCUUCUACCAAAAUGUGUUAAGCAUCUCCCUAAUCACUACCCUGUCAUAAAAUAAGUAUUCAAAUAACCAUGGCUUUGUACAUUAGGCCAAGUUAAAAAGAAAGGUUGCUCUUCUAGCAAAUAAAUGUAAACAGCUUCAGAAGUACAAUAAAAGUGCAUCCCGCCACAGCCUGUCAUUCCACACCCAUGCUGUUAGGUGCUGCUCUUUGCAACCAUGUCCAAGACUCUGAAAAAGUUUGUGGAGAAGAGCCAGGAAGUGGAUAGGGUGACUAUGCCAUCUCUAACAUGCUGUACACAUUUUCCUCAUCCUGUACCAAACUACUGGUCCUCAGACAUAACAAGCUCACACUGGUGCCACCAAACACAGCAGAACUGAAGAACUUGGAAUUUAUCAACAUCCUUAAUAUCCAGAUUGAGGAGCUGCCCACACAGACCAGCAACCUUUGGAAACUCAAGCAAGUGAACCUGGGCAUGAAUGGGCUAAAUAUUUUGACUGAAGGAUUUUGCUUUCUACUUGCUCUUGACCUUCUGGAUUUGAUGUAAAACUUGAAUGAAAAUUCUCUUCCUGGAAACUUCAUCUGCCUUACCACCUUGUGUGCACUCUAUGUAAGUGACGAUGAUUUUGAAAUCCUACCACCAGAUAUUAGGAAGUUCACAAAGUUGCAGAUACCCAGCUUUAGGGAUAACAAUCUCAUCUUGCAACCUAGAGAAAUUGGGGAGCCUACCCAGCUUAAGGAACUCCACAUUCAGGGGAACUGCCUGACUCUUCUGCCCCCAGAACUAGGAAAUAUAAUUAGCUGAUCAGAAGCAGGUAUUCAAAGAAGAGGACAGCCCAAUUGGAUUACCCCAGUUGCUCACCAGUUCCCGCUUGGUGUGUCCUGUGUGCUUGAAAGUAUCUGUUCUGAGACAGACAAGUACCUCUAUGACAGCACAUGCAGGCAAAUCCAGAACCACCAAAAAAGAAUAACCAUGAAUCAAAAAAGAUGAGCUGGAAAUACCCAACAGCCAAUAACAAAUAAGGGGUGCGCAUUGACUGGGAUUCUCGCCACUUCUCUCACCAGCACUUCUGUCCUUUCUUGCUCUGUCUCACAAAUGCAAUGUGCACAUGAAACAUAAAGACAUACAAUAAAAGGCAAAAUCUAUUUUAUAACUCAGCAUUCUAUCCUUAAAUACUUGGGAAUUACUCUUUUAACAAGUUCAGUUGCUAGCCUAAGUGAUUUAACAAGGAAUCAAGUAUAAUUGGAUUCUAAGUACCUUCAGGUACAAUUUGACCCAAGUUGUUUAAUUCAGUAACAGAAGAAGACACUGCACCUUAUUUGCAACUUGACUACAUUUUCUGGGAAGCAGAUAAGGUCAGAUACUUCAGAACGAUUUAUCUGCAAGAAGAUAUCCUUUUACCACACAGAGAUUUAGAGGAAUUAAAUAAAAAACCAUUUCGUUCAAUUUUUUUGUAUGUGGUGCAACUCUGCUUUUCCACAAAUGAUUCAAUGGGAGACCAUAUAAAUAAGUUAGCAUUAGUCUGGUCUUUGAAGCCAAACUGACUUCUUUACAUAACUAGGCUUCAGCUGCAUAACCUUAAGCACAUUACUUAAAUCCUCCAAGGUUCAGUUAGAACAUCUAUAAAAUGUAGUUAAGUGUGUAACUUUUUAAUAGAGCAAGAUUAAAUGAAAUUAUGAAUGAAACAUGCUUUGCACAGUACAUGGCACAUAAGAAGCAUACAGUAACUAUUAACCAUACUUCUUAUCUAUAAAGUAGAUGAAAUGACUUCCUUUUCAGACUCUGAGGAAACUAAUUAUAUUAUAGUUAAAAAUAUAAAUUAUAAAUGCUAACCUAUGUAAAGUGAAAUAAGCCAGGCACAGAAAGACAAACAUCACACGUUCUUACUUAUCUGAGGGAGCUAAAAAUUAAAACAAGUUGAACUCGUAGAGAUAGAGAGUAGAAGAAUGGUUACCAAAGGCUGGGAACAGUAGCAGUGGGAGGAUGGUUAAUGGAUACAAAAAAUAGUUAGAAAAAAUAAAUAAGACCUAGUAUUUGCUAGCACAACAUGGUGACUAUAGAAAAAAUUAAUUAUUCAUUUAAAAAUAACGAAAAUAAUAUAUUUGGAUUGCUUGAAACACAAAAGAGAAAUGUUUGAGGUGAUGGAUACCCUAUUUGUUCUGAUGUGAUUAUUAUGCAUUGGAUGCCUGUAUCAAAAUAUCUCAUGUGGCCCAUAGAUACAUACACUUACUAUGUACCCACAAAAAUUAAAAAUUAAAAAAUAAAAUAAAUGCUAGUAAACCACAGAUGGUGAGUCCUAGGAAAUCUUGCAUCACAUUAAAUUCUGUUUUUCACACAAAAUCUUUGUCAUCCAGUAUAUAUUUUGCAUUUAUAGCACGUUUUAAUUAGAUUAACCUCAUUUCGAGUUCUCAGUUGCUAUGUGAAGCCACUGUAUUCGACAGUUCAGGACUGUGUAAUUUCCACCUUCCCAUUCCCAGUUGAGUAAUUCUUGAUCUGGAGAUGAUUCAGCUGGGAAAAGGGAAUCUCUGCACUUUGAUUGUCAGUCCUGAGGCCAGUGACAGCUAUGCUUUUCUAUGUUACUAAAAGAAGGUUUGGCAACAGUGUUUAAAAAAAGAAAAAGUGCAUCUCUCAUCCUGAGAAUCAACUUGAGCAAAUGCAGUCAGUCAGUCUUUCUCUAACUCUUGUGUAAAUCUGAAACGUGCUUCUUUCUGCAGUUUGACAUCAGAUGGGUCUCUGGAUUGUAAAAGUCAAACAAAACUGUCUGACCCCGAAAUGGAUUCUGCAGGCUUCCCAGGUCCAAGUACUGCUUUCCUGGACAAUUGUGAGGCUCUCAUUUUAGUGCCUCAGAGAAGCAGAGAAAAUACGGAUACAGGCAGAACAAGAUAAUAAUAAUGGCAAUAGAAUCAAUAAUACACUUUCACAAGCAUGCUUUCUAGCAUUUUCUGAGGCCUAUGUGCCAAAAAGUGUGCUGUCUUUGAUAUCCAUCAUCUGAUUUAGUAGAAUAUAAUAUUUUAAAAGCUGGAUCUCCUGAGGUUUUACAGAAAGACCCUUAUUUAGAUGAGCUCCUUUAAAGCUAAGGUCAAUCAAAUUAGAUACAGUGCUGCUAGCUUGAAUUGUCAAUCACAUUACUUGGAAUUUUCUUAAAAGAUACCCUUCUUUCUACUCCUCAAAACUCAUGCACACCAAGGUUGACUUUUCUUUAUGCUUUUCCUAACAACAGGAUAUUAUUACUGUUAUUUUAAUGUUCAAUUUGUAUUUGAAAGCAUUCAUUGAGUGCUUACAAUAUGCUAGGCACUGACCUAAGUAAUUUAUAUACAUUAUUUCCUUUAAUCCCUAUGGAAACUAAAUCGUAGACAUUUAUAUUUUUAUUGUAUUCAUUUGUUAGAUUCAUUUACAUAUUGAAAAGUAGAUGCUCAGUGCUGUUAACAGCAAAACAAAAUAACAAUAAACCACGUCCGUUUUCUCAAAGACACUAAUUGACAGAGGUGGAACUCAAACCUCAAACCUCAAAAAGUUUUUUUGUGAGCAUCCUAUUAUCAAAUAAAACAUUGCUAUGAUAUGAUAUAUUUAUGCAUAAGACAGUAAUUUUCUUCCUCAAAAAGUAUACAAAAUAAUUACUUUUUUAUCUCUUCAUUGUGGAAAAAUUAGCCUGGAUUACAAAAAUCAAAGCAAGAAGUUGUUUUUGCUUCAAAAUAGCACUCGACUUAUUUAAUUAUUAAAUAGUUAAGUGCUGAUGAAAAGUGUAAGCUCCGGGAUUAGAUGACCUAUAUUCAGACUCUAACUUUAAUAAUUUCCAGCUGAGUCGUCAAAAACAAGUUCUUUAACUCUGCUAAAUUUCAUUUUUAUUAUCUGCAAAACGGAAGUACUACAAGAGAUUAAUGCAGUUAGCACAGUGUCAUACACAUAGUAAGACCUUCAUGAAUAUUAGGUUGUUUGUUAUAAUAAUUAUUAUUAUUGAAAUCUUAUAUAUUUCUGCAUUCUACAAGAAGUUCACGAUUCCUGGAAAAGGAUACUCUUUUUCUUUUUUCUAAAUUGAUACAUCAGUCUGGAUGCAGUGGCUUCUACCUGUAAUCCCAGCAUUUUGGGAAGCCAAAGCGGGAGGGUCACAUGAAGCUAGGACAGGUCUAGAGACCUUAUCUUUACAAAUAAAAUUUUCUAAAUUAGCUGGGUUUGGUGGCACAUGCUUGUAGUCCCAGCUACUCAGGAAACUGAGGCAGGAGAUUGCUUGAGCCCAGGAGUUUGAGGCUUCAGUGAGUUAUAAUCACAUCACUGCACUCUAGCCUGGGUGACAAAGCAAGACCUAUCUCUAAAAAUAAAAUAAUUUAUAUGCCAUAGUAGUAUAUAUCUUUGGGAUGUAUGUGAUAUUUUGAUACCUAUCUAUAAUGUGUAAUGAUCAAAGCAGAGUAAUUGAGAUGUCCAUUCCCUCAAAUGUUUUCUUUGCAUUGGGAAUAUUAAAAUUCUUCUAGCUAUUUUGAAAUAAACGAUAAGUCAUUGUUAACUGUAUAACCAUAAAAUACUCUGCCACUGAACACUAGAACUGAUAGCUUCUCUCUAACUUUAUUUUUGUACCCAUUAAUCAACUAUGCUUCAUUCCCCAUCCUUCCUUUCCUUCCAGGCCUCUAUAACCACCAUUCUACUUUCAACCAACAUGAAAUCCUCCUGUUUAGCUCCCACAUAUGAGUGGAAACAUGUGACAUUUGUCUUGCUGUGCUGUGCUUAUUUCUCUUAACACAGUGAUCUCCAUUCCAUCUAUACUGCUGCAAAUGACAAGAUUUUAUCCUUCGUUAUGGCCCAUUAAGAUUCCGUUGUGUACAUAUCCCACAUUUUCUUUAUCCAUUUAUCCACUGAUAGACACUUAUAUGAAAUCGACUAUGUUGAUUUCAUAUCUUGACUAUUGUGAAUAAUGCUGCAGUAACGUGGGAGUGCAGAUAUCAGGUUCAUAUACUGAUUUCCUUUCAGCAGCGGGAUAGCUAGAUCAUGUAGUAGUUCUCUUUUUAGGUUUUUGAGGAAGCUCAUAAAGUUUUCUAUAACGGCUGUACUAAUUUACAUUCCCACCAACAGUAUAAAAGAGAAUCCCUUUCUUUACAUCCUCUCCAACACUUAUUAUUCUUUGUCUUUCUAUACCCAUUUGAACCGGAAUGAGAUGAUAUCUGCUUGUGGUUUUAAUUUGCAUUUCCCCAAUAAUUAUUGACUUUUAGUAUUUUUUUUUAAAUAUACCUGUUUGCCAUUUAUAGAUCUUUUUUCCAGAAAUGUCUAUUCAGGUAUUUUGCCCAGUUUUAAAUUUGAUGAUAAUUAUUUUUUUUUUAAUGAUUAAGUUGUUUGAGUUUUCUUUGUUUUGUUUUGAGAUGCAGUCUCACUCUGUCACCCAGGCUGGAAUGCCAUGGCAUGAUAGCUCACUGCAUCCUCUGCCUCCUGGGUUCAAGCAAUUUUUGUGCCUCAAUCUCCCAAGUAGCUGAGAUUACAAGCACACACCACCAUGCCCAGCUAAUCUUUGUAUUUUCAGUAGAGACAUGGUGUCACCAUGUUGACCAGGCUGCUCUCGAACUCCUGACCUCAAGUGAUAUGCCCGCCUCAGACUCCCAAAGUACUGGGAUUACAGGUGUGAGCCACCAGGCCCAGCUGUUUGAGUUUUUAAUGUAUCCCUUGUCAGAUGGAUCAUUUGCAAAUAUUUUCUCCAAUUCUGCAAGUUGUCUCUUCGCUUUGUUAAUUGUUUCCUUUGCUAUGCAGAAGCUUUUUAGCUUAUUGUAAUUCCGUUAUCCUAUAUGUGCUUUUGUUGCUUGUACUUUGGAGAUCUUACCCCAAAAAUCUUGACACAGCUCAAUAUCCUGUAGCAUUUCCUCAAUGUUUCCUUCUAGUGGUUUUAUAGUUUCUUUCCUGAGUGUGCAGGGACUUGCUGGGAGAUGCAAGCUCCUCUGAGCCAACAAGACCUGGUUCUCCAGCUUUGGCCUGACAGCAGAUCCCCUCAGGGACCCAGUUUCAGCUCUAGCCAUCCUAUUGAAGUUAGAAAACCAUCCCAUCUGUGCUGAAACCUGCUGGGAGACACGCACCUGCCUGAACCAAGGAGAAAGGGGUCUCCUUUUUGGUUUUAGAAAAGAGAGGGAGGGGAUACUGUUUGUUGAGUACUGACUUUGAUGAGGUGCCCAGCAACCUUAGAAAGCUGCUGGUCCAUCUCGUCUUGUGUCACAUGUCAGGAGUUUCCCGCUUUUGCAAUAGGUAUUUGUAGCAUUAACCUAAGUCCCUAGGAUUGCCUAAUAACACUAGACCUGAAGCAGUUGAAAAGGCUAUGAUUAUGUAUUUUUAUUAAAAAACUCAGAUUCCUAUCUGAAAUGUAAUAGUCUGCAAGUUCUCAAUUUAUUUUACUAUUCAUAAUUUAAAUUAGUUAGGAAGACUGGUAGAAGUUUAAAUGCAACUACUGACCUCAUUUCAAUUUUCAAGUCAACUUGCAUAUUUUUCAAGUGACAGCACUUUUUAGAUAACGAAGCUAUUGGUUUAUCAGCAUAUAAGGUCUGGAUAUAAGGUCUAGCAUUCCUACAGCUAUUUAAAUUUCUCCAGGCAUGUAUUUCUGAAAAUUAUGAUAAUGCGAGUAAAUAAUUUUCUGGGACAUGAUGACAUCAAUUCUGUAGUAAACUUUUUUUGUAAAUAUCCUAUCCUGCAAAUUAUCAAGUUAAUGGAUUAAAAUGCCCAAGUAAUUACUCCAGAGAGUAUGCAAGAUGCAUUUUAAGUUUGCUAACUUUGCCUUAAAAAAAUAGCUGAUUUUCUUUCUUGAUGUAUGGCAAGAAGAGAUUGGCUAGAAUAAAAACAAAAGUUACUUUCCACAUAAGGAUUUUUUGGUCAUAAGCACAAGCCUCAACUCACUGAUUAUCAUGUGAAUUAAAAGAAUAGCUUUCCCAGUGCUUUCUCUUUGGGACACAGAUUAUUUAAGCGCUGAAUAUACUAACUUAAACAUCUUCUUCAAUAUAGAAUAAAAAUCUUGACUUUUUCUAUUAGGUUAGAAUUAGUGCAUAGAAGCUAAAAAAUAGUAAAAGUUAUGUGAUUAUAUUACGCUUGGCAAACUUUCUUGUUUUCUUGCAAAUGAAGGUAUUUGUCUCUUAUUUAUUGUGUUGAUCAAUGAAAAUAGUAUCUCUAUCCUGAGGUGUUACAAAAAAUUAAUCAAGUCAGCAUGUAUACUGCAUAUGAGUCUUGAGGAAUAUUUACCAUUUAAUCAAGAACCUAAAAAAAUAUGUAUAAUCUAGCUCCCAAAAUGUAACAUCAGUGGUUAACUGUCAGGUUAAUAAAAUGUAAAACAAGGUUGGGCACCAUGGCUCACACCUGUGAUCCCAGUACUUUGGGAGGCCGAGAUGGGUGGAUUAUUUGAGGUCAGGAGUUCAAGACCAGUCUGGUCAACAUGGUGAAACCUUGACUCUGCUAAAAAUACCAAAAAAAUUAGCCAGGCGUGGUGGGGUGCACCUGUAAUCACAGCUACUCAGAAGGCUGAGGCAGGAGAAUUGCUUGAACUUAGGCAAACGUUGCAGUGAGCUGUUACCACGCCACUGCACUCCAAACUGGGUGACAGAGUGAGACUCCAUCCCAUUAAGAAAAAAAAAGGAAAGAAAGAAAAGUAAAGUAAAACAAGAUAGCAAAAAAUGUGGUUUUCUUUUCUUUCUUUAAAUUUUUUUUAAAAUUUAAAAAUUAACAGAUAAAAUUGUAUGUACAAACAUGUGUCACUUAAGGUCAGGGAUAUGUUUAGGGAAAUGCAACGUUAAGAAAUUUUGUUGUGCAAACAUCAUAGAGUAUAUUUACAAAAGCCUAAUGCUAUAGCCUAUUAUACACCUAAGGUAUAAGGUAUAGCCUAUUGCUUCCAGGCUACAAACCUGUACAGUGUGUUACUCUACUGAAUAUUUUAGGCCAUUGUAACACAAUGAUAAGCAUCUGAGUAUAUAAAUAUAUCUAAACAUAGAAAGACACAGUAGAAACACAGUAUUACAAUCUAAUGAGAGCAUCAUACAUAUGAUUCAUCAUUGACUGAAAUAUCAUUAUGUGGCACAUGACUGUAUUUACCAUGCAUGAAAUGAUAGUUUGAAGUAUAUAUACAUUGUGGAAUGACUAAGUCUAGCUAAUUACCAUAUGCAUUACCACAUGUAGUUACCAUUUUUGUGGUGAGAGCACUUUAUAUCCAUUCUAUUAGCAUUUUUCAAGAACACAGGAUAUUAUUAACUAUAGUCAUGAUGUUGUACAAUAGAUCUUUUGACCUUAUUCCUCCUAUAUUACUGAAAUUUUGUAUCCUUUGACCAAUAUCUUCUCAAUGCCUCCCAAAAUCCCUCCCCACUCCAAGCCCCUAGUAGCCACCAUUCUCUCUUUACUUUUGUGAGAUAAUUUUUUAGAUUCCACAUAUGAGUGAGAUCACGCAAUAAAUUUCUUUCUGUGUCUGCCUUAUUUCACUUAACGUGAUGUCUUCUAGGUUCAUCCAGGUUGUCUCAAGUGACAAGAUUUCUUUCUUUUUAUUUACAUGGUUAAAUAGUAUUCCAUUGUGUGUAUUUGUGACAUUUGCUUUAUCCAUUCAUCCACUGAUAAACAUUUAGGUUGAUUCCAUGGUUGGGCUAUUGUGAAUAGUGCUUCAAUGAAUAUGGAAGUGCAAAUAUCUCUUCAAGAUACUAAUUUUAUUUCCUUUGGAUAUAUAUCUAGUGUUGGUGUAUGUUGGUAUAUGAGUAUAUAUACAUUGCCACUGAUAGAUUUUAUGGGAGUUCGAUUUUUAAUUUUUUAAGGAAACUUUAUACUAUUUUUCAUAAUAACUAUUAAUUUACAUUCACACCAAGAGUACACCAGGAUUUCCUUUUCUCCACAUCCUCGUCAAUACUUGUUAUCUUUGGUCUUUUUGAUCAUAGCCAUUCUAACAAGUGUGAAGUGAUAUCACAUUGGAAUUUUCAUUUGCAUUUUUCUGAUGAUUAGUGAUGUUGAGCAUUUUUAAAUAUACCUGUUGUUCGUUUGUAUGUUUUAUUUUGAGAAAUGUCUAUUCAGGGCCUUUGCCCAUUUUGGGAGGAUAUUAGGUAUACUUUAUUUUUUAGUUUUUAAUUUUUUAUUUCAAAAGGUUUUUGGGGAACAAGUUUCACCCAUUUUUAAUGGGGUUACUUGUAUUCUUGCUAUUAAAUUCUUUUAGUUUUUUGCAUAUUUCAGGUAUUUACCUCUUAUCAGAUACAUAGUUUGAAAAUAUUUUUCCCAUUCUGUAGAUUGUCUCUUCAUACUGUUGAUUAUUUCCUUGCUGUGUAGAUGCAUUUUAUUUUGAUGUAAUCUCAUUUGUCUAUUUUUUAUUUUGAUGCCAUUGCCUCUGGUGUCAUCCAAAAAAUCAUUGCCCAGGCCAAUGUCAUGGAACCUUUUCCCUAGGUUUUCUUCUAGUAGUUUUAUAGUUUCAGGCUUUACAUUUAAGUCUUUAAACCAUUUUUAGUUUAUUUUUGUAUAUGAUGUGAGAUAAGGAUCUAAUUUCGUUCCUCUACAUGUAAAUAUCCUGUUUCCCCUUCAUCAUUUACUGAAGAGACUUAGGUUGAUAAACACUUUAUUGAAGAGACUGUCCUUUUCCCCUUAUAGACUCUUGGUGCCUUUGUCAUAAAUCAAUUGGCUAUAAAUGUGAAGAUUUAUUUCUGCCCUGUCUCUUCUGUUCCAUUGGUCUAAGUGUCUCUUUUCCUGCCUAUAUUAUUAUAAUUUAGUUAUAAUAAUUUUGUAAUAUAUUUUGAAGACAGGUGCCUCCAGCUUUGUUCUUUAUGCUCAAGACUACUGUGGCUCAUUGGGGUCUUUUAUGGUUUCAUAUUAAUUUUAAGGUUGUGUCCUAUUUCUGUGCAGAAUGUCACUGGUAUUUUCGUAGAGACUGUAUCAAAUCUAUAGAUCUCUUUGGGCAAUGCGAAUGUGUAGACAAUAUUAAUUCUUCCAAUUCAUGAACCUGUGGUAUCUUUCCAUUCAUUUGUGUCUUUUUAAAUUUCUUUCAUUAGUGUCUAGUUUUGAGUGAAAAUAUGUUUCACUUCCUUGGUUAAAUUUAUUCUUGGGUAUUUUUUGUUGCUAUUAUAAAUGGGAUCAAUUUCUUCAUUUUUUUCCAUAUUGUUUGUUGUUAGCAUAUGAAAUGCUAGAGUUUUUAUAUGUUGAGCUUGUAUCCUGCAAUUUACUGAAUUUGUUUAUUAGUUUUAAAAGUUUUUUGGUUGAGUCUUUCGGGAUUUGUAUGUAUAAGAUACACUUUAACUUACUCCUUUCCAAUUUGGAGCCUUUUAUUUCUUCCUCUUUACUUAUUGCCCUAACUGGGACCUCAGUACCAUAUGGAAUAUAAGUAGUGUAACUGGGCUCCCUUCUUUUAUUGCAGAUAUUAAAGGAAAAGCUUUAAAUUUUACCUGUUGAAUAUGAUAUAGCUGUGGGUUUGACAUAGAGAGUCUUUAUAUUGCUGAGGUACAUUCCCUCUAUGCUUAAUUAAUUGUUGAAAGUUUGAUAGAAUUCAGCAGUAAAGCUAUCAGGUCAUGGGUUUUUCUUUUAAGUCUCCUUACUCAUUAUUGGUCUCUUACAGUUUUCAAUUUCUUCAUAAUUUAGUCUUGGUAGGUUGUAUGUGUCAAUAAAUUUAUCCAUUUAUUCUAAGUUAUCCAAUUUGUUGGCAUAUAAUUGUUCAUAACUGUCUUGUAUAAUUUUUUGUACUUCUGUUUUUAUCAGUUGUAAUGUCCCCUUUUCAUUUCUGAUUUCAAUUAUUUGAGACCCUCUCCAUUUUUCUUAGUCUAGGUAAAGUUUUGUUCAUUUUGUUUAUUUUUUAAAAAAACAAACUCCUAAUUUUGUUAUCUUUUCUAUUGUUCUAGUUGUUGUCUCAUUUAGCCUCCAUGCCUGGCUAAUUUUUGUAUUUUUAGUAGAGUUGGAGUUUCGCCAUGUUGGCCAGGCUAGUCUCAAACUCCUGACCUCAGGUGAUCCACCCACCUCUGCCUCCCAAAGUGCUGGGAUUACAGGUGUGAGCCACCACACCUGGCCACAUUUGCUGUUUUGAUGCUGUCCCAUACAUCUUGAAAACUAGAAAGGUUACAAGAACUUCUUUACUUUUUAUAAUUCUUUUCUCAUCUGACUGUAUAUUUUCAUUUAUUUCUGAUUGUAUGUUUCCAGUUUCACAGAUUUUUUCUUCUGCAUGAUCUCUGCUGUCAAUGACCUCUAUUGCAUUUUUUCAUUUUGUAUUGUUUUCUUCCAAAAUUUGUGUUUGAUUUUUUUUUUCAAAUCUUGUAUUAAAUUUCUCAUUCUGGUCACUUAUUUAUUUCUUCAUUUCAUAAACUGUUUAUUUAUAUUUUCUUGGAGUUCGUUGAGCUUUCUUAAAACAAUUAUUUUGAAUCUUUUUCAGACAGUUGUGUUUGUUUGGUGCCAUGAUAUUUCCCUGAUAGUUCUUGAUCCUUGUGUCUGUACAUUUGAGGAAUUAGGCAUUUAUUCCAGUCUUUGAAGACUAGCUUUGUUAGGAAAAUCCCUGUGGCAGGUAUAGCACUGAGGUGCAUCAGAAGCCUGGAGUGGCUGUGGCUGGCACAGGGCUGCUCAUAGUCUCAGGUAUGCCACAGCAGUUGCAAUCCUGGGGUAGUUCAGAAGUCCAGGACAGAUUUGGCUAGCAUGGCGCUUCAUUCAAUAAGCCUGUGGCUCGCUGUGGUAGGCAUGGUGCUGGGGUAGAUCAUAAGCCUUUGGCAGAUAGUAUUUCUAGAAUCGCCUGGACCCACUACAGCAGGUCCAGUGCUAGGACAAGCUAGAAACAUGGGUCAGAGGUACCUGGCAUGAAAUUGGGAAACACUAGAAAUCAGAGACUACUGAGGCCAAGCCUGCCUGCUGCUGAGAGUUGUCCAGAGCCCAGGGCUGUUGAUGUAAGCCCAGUGGUGGUACAACGGUGGAGACUGGGUUCACCAAGCAAGUCUGAAGCCUGGAGCUACGUGGUCUCAUCUGGUGCGAGAGUGGGUCUAGAGGCUUAGUCUGUAAGCCUGAAAUACAAGGCUGGGGGUUCUGUCCAGCUGGGUUUCACUGUGGCAGGCCCAGUUUGGGGUCCAAGGGGAAGUCUUAUGCUCACUUUCCUUUAUUUUCUUGAAGUAGAUAGUGUUUCUCUCCAUGCUGAGCUGUGCAGCCUGGUGUUGGGGAAGGGGUGAUAUGAGUAAUGUAAAGUUGCUCUUCCUAUCAUCAUCGAUGUAUCUUUUCUUAUUAUUGUACUGCAACCAGAUACUGUGACCUCGUACCUGGGUUCCUUAGCUUUUGUGAACAUAUUUUCAUGCAUGAAUAGAUGUCCAAAUAGAUUGGACGAUCACUGGAAAGUUCCACUCCAUUAUCUUUCUCUGCCCCCUAAUCUAUGGUUUUGUUAAAAUCAAUAAGAACUAUUUCUUGUGCUGGCUGGUUUAGUAAGCCUUUAAGUUGUCAUAUGGCUUAAUGGGUGUUUUUGAAGUAUAAUCCUAAAAGAGAGCUACAAAAAGGUCAUGGUUAACAUUAAUUGUGAUUAUAAUUACCCACAAAUAUUUACUGAACACCCAUUCUGAACAAGGUACUCUCAUAAAUGCAAUCAUAGCCUCAACUAAAUAUUCCUUUGGUAAACAUUUUUUGACAUGAAAUCUUAAUGAAGGGAAAGAAUUACCUCGUCAAAAUGGAUAAAUAUCUAUCAAGUACCUUAAAAAAAAUAUAGAGAAAUGUCUGGUAUGCUUUUGAAGAUUUUUGAAUGAUUUCUCUCUUCCUUAGAACAGUUUUGAAAUGCUUUGAAAGUGUUUAUUGUUACAGGGAAGACACAACACUGAAAACAUUAUUUGUACAUAGGAUUAGUUCCUAAUUAAAUUUAUAGGAGUUUCAUGUCAGAAGGUGCAUGCCAUGGUGUUCAUCAUUUCAGGGAGGAAAGGAUCAUGCCAUUCCUUAUAGAACUUGGUACUGGGCCUCAACUGUGACCAAUUCAAAUUUUCUACCAAACACACACACACACACACACACACACACUGAAGAAGUUGAAAAAUAUGAGCCUUUGAGUUUUUUGGGUAUUUUUUGUUUUUUGUCUGUUUGUUUAGUUCUAAACUAAAAAAUUUAGAACUUUUUAGCAAAAUUUGGUUUAGCUGUGUUGAAUAUAUUUCAAGGGCCAAAAUUUAGGUAAAACUAUGAACUGUUGAAUGGGCAGUUUUGAUUAGAGGGAAAAUCUAUUAUGUAAAGUUAAAAAGUCACAAGGUUAGGUAGUAUUAAAAGAAAAGAGAUGAAGUUAACCCAGUGACUGUAAGAAAACUCAUAUGGAGAGGGAGAGAAUGAGUUUCUGGCUUCUGUUGAAUUACUGUUCUUCCACUGAAUUAAUCCUUGAGCUAUUUUUCAUAUGAUCUCACUGGACUCAACCAUUGGCAUCUUUGCCUAGAUGGAACCAUGAUCUCAGAAAACACGAAGGACUACUCUCUUGGUGCUCUGUGGAAACAGACCUAAGUUCUGAGUGACCCAGGCAGCCUUCUAUUGGUCUCUCUGAUGUCCCCAUCAUUGUAUAGUAGAAUAGGAAUCAGUAAUAGGUAACCUUUACUCAGUGCUAACUAGAGCAAAGAGUGCUCUCUCCUUUAACCUCCUAACACCUCUAUGAAGUAGGGACAAUUACUAUCUCAUCUUAAAGAUAAGGAUACUGAGGUUCAGGUGGUUUACAUAACUAGCCAAAAGCCACACAAGGAUGGGUGGACAUCAUGGCCUUAACUAAAGAUAUGACAUUUUUAGCUACUUCCUCAAAGCCAUCACUUAAAGAAGCUGUUACAGGUCUAUUCAGUGUUCAUGCCCAUGGGUAAAGUAGAAAUAGCUUGGGUUUUGAAGAUAAUAUAAACUCAAAUUUCAGCCUAGUCAUCUACUCAGUGUGUGUGACAUUGGCUAUCUAACUCAACCUUGAGUAUUGGUUUUCUUCAUUGCUGUGAAGAAAAUAAACUUAGCUCAUGUUAAUGCUUACUAUGUGCCAGGCACUGUUUCAAGCACUUUAUGAAUUAACUCAGUAGUCUCUACAAUACAUCUAUGAGGAAGAUACUGUUAUAAUCCUCAGUUUUAGAUUUACUAAGGUACAGGGUGCUUAAGUGAGUUGUCUGAAGUCCUCCAGCAGGAAAAUAGUAGACCUGAGAUUCAAAUACACAUAAUUUCUGACUGCUUUGGUCUUCUGACUAUGGAGAGUAAACAGCUUAGCAUGUGUUGACUGUGUGGAACGUAGGUAGGUGCUCACCCACCAUGAAUGCUUAUCUGAUUUCCCUGUUUAGCCAAAAUAUUUGUAUAAAAUCAUUUCAAAUAUAUUUUCUGGGUUUCUAAAAGUAAUAGUACUGAAGCACAGGCAGCUUCUGUGUUCCUCACAUACAUCAGUGAAAAAAUAUGCUUUUCCAUGCUUCCACUGACAGGUAUUAGAGAUGCUACAGAUGGAAGACAGAAAAGCCAAGCCGGUUCUCUCAAGUGGUCCUUCAACACCUUUCUCUAUUGAUCCUUUGCUUUCACCUUCAUCACCUUAUCUUGUUCUCAUCACUUUGUGCGUAUAUCAUAGUAACAGCUCUAUAACUAGUCUCUCAGCGUCAUUCUUACCCUGCUUAAGUUUAUUUUAACAGAUUGCAGUCAGUUAUUUUUCAAACAAAUAAACCAGUUGUUUCACUCUUCCUUUCCCCACUACCAAUUCAAAAAGUCAAAAUUGCUUCAGACUGAACUUAUGAUAAUGCCAAAACUCUUUAACAUGACCAUUCAUGUAUCAUCUCUUGCCUCUAGUCUUCUCAUGCUAUUACAUGCUUCUUCCCAACCUAUGACAGGUUUUAUUUCCUGUAAUAGGAGUCCUCUGUCCUUCCUUUGUUUCUCUCUCUCUCUCUCUCUCACACACACACACACACACACACACAUACACACUGACCAUCUUUGCUUGGAUUUCCCCUUCUAGUACUCUUCAGAUCAGAUCUCAACUAAAAUGUAACUUUCUCCAAGAUAUAUAUCUUUUCUCCAAGUUAAAAUUAGAUACCUUCCUAAGAUAUGUGUUUUCAUAUUAUCUGAAAUUAAUUUUCUGCCUGCUCUAGAAUGCAAGUUCUAUAAGAGAAGAAAAUGUGGCCUGUAAUAUAAUAGAGACUCAAUAAACAUUUAUUGUUAUAAAUGAAUGAGUCAACGAAUGAAUGAAGAGAUUAGUAAUUGAGAUCUGAUACAGUAAUGGCUUCAUGUAGAACCUCUUCAGCAGCACUGUGUUUCAAGCAAUCUAAUCCUUUGUUCCUCUCUUCCAUGGGCUCCUUUCAGCCAAGACAUUCUUUUGCUUACCCCAACUCCAACAAAAGUAAUCAAUUUCCAAGGACCAACUUUUGUCUGGCUAAAUUGGUUGUGAACUCCCACACAUUUCUGAAAUUUUCUGUAAUGGCAGCGAGAGAGUAAAGGAGGGAACUAUAAGCAGUUAUUGCUUUUGCAGAAACAACAGAGAGCUAAAGCAGCUUAAACAGGAGCAUGAUGACUAAAGAGACCGGAAUUAGAGGAGAGCAGAGGCAGAGGAAAUCAGGGUGCUUAAAAGGUAAUGUAGGAGAAGACUUUCACACAGAUGCGACGUCUAGAUGUUUGCCUUUUUUAUUACGGGAAAAACAGGAGGACAUGUUUAAAACAAAAUAUGAGUGCUUUGAUUUAGCAAAAAGGUUUUUGCUGGCAGGUUUCUUAAUCCCACCAAAUUUUAAAACCUGUGUCUAGAUCUGUAAUAUUUUAGUUUGUCAAUGUUUUAUGGUUGGUCAGCUUCUUACUGUUUUUGCCAUCUUUGUAUAUUUUAAUUCUAGGGUUUUUUUUUUUUGACACAUUGUGUGAAAGGAGGUUUUUCCCAGGCCUAGAAAUCUAAGAAUAAACUGAGUUUUUAAACAUUUCUAAAUAUUACUUACCAAAAUAUUUUGCUAUUUAGUACGGCUGUCGAAGUUUUGUGUGAUUUUUAGAUAUCAGCACUAAAACACUACAGAGAUGUCACCUUACUUUCAAGGAGCAGCCAACUUCUAUAUAAUUCAAUGUCAUUCAAUAGAAGUAAUUGUGUAGUUAAUAUAUGCCAAGAACUAUGGUUGGUUAUAAAAGGUAUGGAUGCAAGCCUCUGUUUAUGAAUGGAUUAAAUUCCAAGAACUCCUCUGUAAAAGUCAAUUAUAUAGAACUUCAAAUGCAUUUUCCUACAGUAAUAAUGGUUAUAAAUGGUGAUUUGAUUUCCCCAUAUUUAAUCCAUAAUAUAGCCAAGGUAUAUUUGAAGUAAAAAGCAGGAAAUAAUGUUAGAAUGCCAAAAAUCAAUUAGAGAGCAAUUAUAGCAGGCCGGGCACAUGGCACAUGCCUGCAAUCCCAACACUUUGGGAGGUCAAGGCAGUCUGAAAACUUGAGGUCAGGAGUUUGAGACCAGACUGGCCAACAUAGUGAAACCCCAAUCUCUACUAAAAAUACAGAAAUUAGCCAGGUGAGGUGGUAUGCACCUGUAAUCCCAGCUACUUGGGAGGCUGAGGCAAAAGAAUCACUUGAACCUGAGAGCAGAGGUUGUAGUGAGCCGACAUGGUGCCAUUGCACUCUAGCCUAGGCAACAGAGCAAGACUCCAUUUCAAAAUAAAAAGUAGCAUAAUUGAAUUUAAAAGUAUAUCCAAAUUAUAUUAAAUUCUGUUACAGAAAAAGAGAAUGACUAGCUUGUAUGGAAUAGAGGAAAUAACAAUAAGCAGCUACAUCCUCUCCUCCUAUUAUGGCACACACUGGUAAUUGAUUAUGGCCUCCAUUUUCACUAAGCUCUCAACUUCAAAAUCCUUCUUAAGACAGUGUUUUCUGCAACUGCUGCCAUCCCAGUUAUACCUGGCACAGAGAAAUUGUUUGCCAUUUCAUUGAUAGAGAUACCAUUUACUUUCAACAUUGUAAAGCAAGGAAACUUAUAGUAGUCACUUAGGGACAGGAGGCAAGGUGGAGAUGAGGGCAGGCCAGUAAUAAAUGGACACUUUAUGGCACUGGUUGGCAGGACUUGGCCAAAACAAAUGACUAACCAUAGAUGAAAAACAGGGUUUCUAAUGGCCAUACUGCCUAAAGUAAUUUAUAGAUUCAAUGCUAUUUCCAUUAAACUGCCAUUGACAUUCUUUAUGGAAUUAGAAGAAACUGUUUUAAAAUUCAUAUGGAAUGAAAAAAGAGCCUGCAUAGCCAAGACAAUCCCAAUCAAAAGGAACAAAGUUGGAAGCAUUAGACUACCAAACUUCCAACUAUAUUACAGAGCUACAGCUACCAAAACAGCAUGGUACUGGUACAAAAACAGACACAUAGACCAAUGAAACAGAAUAGAGAGCUUAGGAAUAAGACCACACCUCUACAUCUAUCUGGUCUUUGACAAACUUGACACAAACAAGCAAUGGGAAAAGGAUUCCCUAUUUAAUAAAUAGUGCUGGGAAAACUGACUAGCCUUAUGUAGAAAAUUGAAACUGGAUCCCUUCUUUACACCUUAUUCAAAAAUUAACUCAACAUGGAUUAAAGACUUAAAUGUAAAACUCAAAAACUAUAAAAACCCUAGAAGAAAAUAUAUGCAAUACCAUUCAGGACAUAGGCAAAGGCAAAGAUUUCAUGAUGCAAUUGCCAAAAACAAUUGCAACAAAAGCAAAAAUUGACAAAUGGGAUCUAAUUAAACUAAAAAGCUUCUACACAGCAAAGAAACUAUCAUAAGAGUGAACAGGCAACCUAUAGAGUGGGAGAAAAUGUUUGCAAUCUAUUAAUUUGACAAAGAUCUAAUAUUCAAAAUCUGCAAGAAACUUAAACAAAUUUACAAAAAAAAAAAUCAGCCCCUUUAAAAAGUGAGCAAAGGACACGAAUGGACACUUCUCAAAAGAAGAUAUUCAUGCAGCCAACAAACAUAUGAAAAAAAGCUCAACAUUACUGAUCAUUAGAUAAAUACUAAUCAAAAUCACAAUGAGAUACCAUCUCACACCCAUCAGAACAAUGAUUAUUAAAAAGUUAAGAGACAGCAGAUACUGGUGAGGUUGUGGAGAAAUAGAAAUGCUUUUAUACUGUUGGUGGGAAUGUAAAUUAGUUCAACCAUUUGGAAGAUGGUGUGGCGAGUCCUCAAAUGUAUAGAACCAGAAAUACCAUUUGACCCAGCAAUCCCAUUACUGGGUAUAUACCCAACGGAUUAUAAAUCAUUCUAUUACAAAGAUACAUGCACAUGUAUAUUAAUUGCAGCACUAUUCACAAUAGCAAAGGCAGGGAAUCAACCCAAAUGCCCAUCAAUGAUAGACUGGAUAAAGGAAAUGUGGUAAAUAUAUACCAUGAAAUAGUAUGUAGUCAUAUGGAGCUAGAAGCCAUUAUCCUCAGCAAACUAAUGCAGGAACAGAAACUCAAAUACCUCACUUAUAAGUGGAAGCUGAAUAUUGAAAACACGUGGACACAGGAAGGAGAACAACACACACUGGGGCCUGUUGGGGAUGGGGGUUGGGGGAGGGAGAGCAUUAGGAAAAAUACCUAAUGCAUGCUGGGCUUAAUACCUAAGUGAUGUAUGGAUAGGUGCAGCAAACCACCAUGGCACACCUACAGCGUACCUAUGUAACAAACCAGCACAUCCUGCACAUGUACCCUGGAACUUAAAAUUAAAGGAAAAAAAAGGGUUUCUAGGCUAGGGGUUAGCCUCACUGAAACAGUCUGGCAGGAGGAAGGAAGUGAAAGCAGAGCCAUAUAGCUAGUUAUGAGAUAGCUGCCCUAUAAAUACAUGGGCCAGGGGCCAUGGAACUUGUGUCAGAAUUCUCAAUAGGCAGCAUCUCCCUGGAUUGCAUAUAAUGAGAUGUUUACAUGUAGCACUGACAUUGAAGGUAACUGGGUAGUCAAGGAUGUUGGUUCUUUUCUUCUAAGGAAGCUAUCAUUAGUUUUCAUUGAAAUUCAUUUCAGACAAAUCUGGGGGAUCUUUGGGAUGCCUGAUUAGUGAUGCUAUGAUUCAAUUAGAUUGUACAGUCAGAAAUAUUACCUGAGGUUAAAAUAUUUAACAGGGUACAGAAUUUUGUUCCUACUCCUUUUUUUGUAGAAUUAUUUUCUCAGCAUGGCCCACAAAAGAUAUCAAGGGCAAUGCUAAGUUUGUCCUGGAGAAUAAUUGGAAAAAAAUCAAAAUGAAAUACGAUUGCCUUAAGAAAUGACCAACUUAAUAAUCGGCCAUGUUUUGAAAGCCCUAGGUAGCAUAUAUCUGUUUCAUUGACACACAUAAGAAUUCAUUAAAUUGGGGGAAGGGAAUUCCCAUAAGUAGUUUUACAUUUUGUCAAAGCUUAAUUUUAAGCUCUAUUUUCUAUGCAAAAUUUUUUAAAGCCUUAAUACUUGAAACAUAUAAGAAAUAUAAUUCCUUUGACAUUCUUCUUUACUUACCUUACUUACUUUACUUAAAGGCUCAAGUCGUUUGAGUUUAUGAAGUACUUGCUCUGAAUGGCCAAAUAUGUUUGACUCGUGGUUUUGGAAAAUCACGUUAUCCAUACCAGGAGAGCUGUAUCUUUAAUUUAUCUUCUAGAGAGGUUCACCAGAGAGUACAAAAAUGUUUACAUUUCAGAGAAAGGAAGGAUCAAUAGAGUAUAAUUCAUCCUGAAAUAUUUAUUUCGGAAAUUAUGCAAUUUUCAAGAUAUCUUCCAAGUUUCCAGCUUUUUUCCUGAUUUACAAAUAUUUGUAAGAAUUUUUAUUUUUAUU